rnacentral:rRNA from 1 species
AAAAGACGCAUUUGAGUCGGGGUUUUAUGAGCCCGCGGUGCAUUAGCUAGUUGGUGAGGUAACGGCCCACCAAGGCGACGAUGCGUAGCCGACCUGAGAGAGUGACCGGCCACACUGGGAGUGAGACACGGGCGCAUACUCCUACGGGAGGCAGCAGUAGGGAAUCUUUCACAAUGGGCGAAAUCGUGAUGGAGCAACGCAGUUUGAGAGAUGAAGGCCUUCGGGUUGUAAAACUGUGUCAUUCGGGACGAACUUGAGUCUGAGGAAAUGCAGACUCUCUGACGGUACCGGAGGAGGAAGCGCCGGCUAACUAGUGUGCCAGCAGCCGGGGUAAUACGUAGGUGGCAAGCGUUGUCGUGGAUUCAGUGGGCGUAAAGCGCGCGCAGGAGGUGAUGUAAGUCUGAGGUGAAAACCCGAAGCUCAAAUUCGUGUUUUCCUUUUAUACCGCGUCACCAGGGGAUAGGAGAGGCAUAGGGGAAUUCGUUUGCGAAGCGGUGAAAUGAGUAUAGAUGUGGAGGAACACCUGUGGAGAAGGCGCCCUGCUGGCGUCCCUGAAAGGUUGGGGCGAGAAAGAGUGGGGAGCAAACCCGCCAAGAUUCCUCCGUAG